rnacentral:rRNA from 1 species
GACGAACGCUGGCGGCGUGCUUAACACAUGCAAGUCGAGCGGAAAGGCCUCCUUCGGGGGGUACUCGAGCGGCGAACGGGUGAGUAACACGUGAGUAAUCUGCCCCUCACUCUGGGAUAACUGCCUGAAAGGGUGGCUAAUACCGGAUGCGACCGUCCCCUGCAUGGGGUGGUGGUGGAAAGGGUUUCUGGUGGGGGAUGUGCUCGCGGCCUAUCAGCUUGUUGGUGGGGUAAUGGCCUACCAAGGCUUUGACGGGUAGCCGGCCUGAGAGGGUGACCGGCCACACUGGGACUGAGACACGGCCCAGACUCCUACGGGAGGCAGCAGUGGGGAAUAUUGGACAAUGGGCGGAAGCCUGAUCCAGCAACGCCGCGUGAGGGAUGACGGCCUUCGGGUUGUAAACCUCUUUCAGCACAGACGAAGCGCCCGUUGUGGGUGGUGACGG